UUUUAAUUAAUGUAACUCUCUGUUUCGAUGAUUUUGUGGGAUUUUUUUAUUUGCUCCCUUUUGUCUAUUUUGCUUCUGUCUGUGCGUCAAAUUACGUAAUCUAAAUUCCCAGUUUCGCCGUCUGUAUGGAUCAAGUUUGCUUUUUCUUUCUGUUAUGGAUGAAACCCACUUUGGCCAAGUUCAGAAUUUGAUGGAAGAGCACUCUCAACCCGAAGAAGAGGAAGAGAUGAUGGAGAGUUCAGAUGGAAAAUAUAUAGUCACUAAUGAAACCUCUCCAUUGGUGGAGCCGUUCAUUGGAAUGGAGUUUGAAUCAGAAGCAUCUGCAAAGUCAUUCUAUGACAGUUAUGCCACAGUCAUGGGUUUCGUUAUGCGAGUGGAUGCUUUCAGGCGGUCAAUGCGAGAUGGGACCGUGGUGUGGCGCAGACUCGUGUGUAAUAAAGAAGGCUUCCGUAGAUUGAGACCUCGUAGAAGCGAGAGCAGGAAACCUCGAGCUAUAACAAGAGAAGGGUGUAAGGCUUUGAUCGUGGUGAAAAGAGAGAAAUCUGGAAAAUGGGUUGUCACUAAAUUUGUGAAAGAGCAUAAUCAUCCUCUCUCACCUAAUGUUGGCCGGAGUUCUCAGCUCUCUCAAACACCGGUACGUUUAUGCACUUAUCCUUUGGGGAAAACAGUGAUAACCAAACUAAAGAAGAGGAAAGACUUUAGUAUUGUAGAGGAGUUUUUUUCUUUUUCCAGGUGAUCUGGAUCAUUUGAUUACCUAAACAAAAUUAUAUCAGAUAUAUUGCAGAAUCUUGUUAACUGAUGCUAUUGCCUUUUAGAGUGCGUUUGAGCAACGUUGACAUUGAUCUCUGACAUACCAAGAGCAUAAAGCUCUGUCCGUUUUCCUCUGAACUAAAUGUAUUGAUCUUGAAAUCUUGUACUAAUGGAUUUUUCGGGACGAGAAAGACGCAAAGAUUCGUGAGCUGAGUGCAGAGCUGAGCCGAGAGAGAAAGCGUUGUGCUGCGUUGCAACAGCAGCUUGAUAUGGUCUUAGAGGAGAUGGAAGAACAUUCCAACCAUCUCUCCACCAACAUCAAUAAUGUUAUCCAAAGUUGUUAUAUUCUCCAUUCUCGGAAACAAACAAA